rnacentral:rRNA from 1 species
GACGAACGCUAGCUACAGGCUUAACACAUGCAAGUCGAGGGGUAACGAGAGGAAAGCUUGCUUUCCUUGUCGACGACCGGCGCACGGGUGAGUAACGCGUAUCCAACCUGCCCCCAACUAGGGAAUAACCUUGCGAAAGUAAGACUAAUACCCUAUAAUUUCCUCAGAUGACAUCUUACGAUGAAUAAAGAUUUAUCGGUUGUGGAUGGGGAUGCGUCUGAUUAGCUUGUUGGCGGGGUAACGGCCCACCAAGGCAACGAUCAGUAGGGGUUCUGAGAGGAAGGUCCCCCACAUUGGAACUGAGACACGGUCCAAACUCCUACGGGAGGCAGCAGUGAGGAAUAUUGGUCAAUGGGCGGAAGCCUGAACCAGCCAAGUAGCGUGCAGGAUGACGGCCCUAUGGGUUGUAAACUGCUUUUAUACAGGAAUAAAGUUAGCCACGUGUGGAUAUUUGUAGGUACUGUAUGAAUAAGGACCGGCUAAUUCCGUGCCAGCAGCCGCCGUAA